UGCAGCCCGGUGUGGAGUGUCCAGCCCAGGAAGGGAGGGCUUAUCCAGACAUGAGACUCCGAACAUCCUUGGCAUCUUUCUGAGGAGAAGGGCUUUGAGUCGUGACCGCUCCUCACAGCUGGCUGCCCCAUGGGCAGCAUUUGAAAUAAUAGCUAAUCACAGGGCUCCACAGCAGAGACUCCACCCUCUUGGCUUCCAAAGAGCCUGUAAUUGACUGCAGAUGGCCCAGGCAAGAUGGGAGGUGCCUGUGUUUAGUGUAAGUGCCUGUGGCCACACUGCCGUCCUUCCUCUGGGGCUUCGGGAUCAUGGAAGAGGACAGAGCGCAGCCUCAGAAGCAGGUGGGAGCCAUCCCAAUAGCCCUGUGCUCAGGAGUCAGAAUGAGGCUCUUGUACAGAGCUUAGAACCUGUGCCGGGAUUCAUUGAAUCUGGACAGUGCUCGUUGGGAGGCCGCCACAUGCCAGGCGCUGUUCUUGCUGCCGGGGAGCUGUAAAUCAAUUUAAUCAACAGUUGACGAAAUCCAAAAUAUCAGCUUGCUCACAGCCUAAAUGAGCGUGGUCAUGACCAAACAUCACCAACACUCUGGAGCGAAGAAAACACACAGCCCUGAGACAGUCACUUCUGCAGAAGGCCAACAUGCUUAGCACCCUGAAGGGGAUGCUUCGCUUUGCAUCUGGUUUGGAUGGUGACAGAGCUGGUUCUCUCAGAAAAGCUUUCAUUCCUUGGGCACUAGAUCGUCAGGGAGCCUUGUCACAUGUGGGAAAUUGCUGUUGCUCUCUUCCUACUCAGCGCCCCUCAACUAAGCUUUGGUAGCCUGUCUGAAGUACUGGCAUGCUUUGUAUGCCGCUUGUCGUCUGUGCUGGAGAAUAGAGCAGACACGAACACUGAUGACUCGUCUCAGCUUGGUGGGUCAGGAAUCAAUGAAGAGACACACUUCUGGAUGUGUUUGUGAGAGUGUUUCCAAAAAAAAAAAAAAAAAAAAAAGAGCAAGUCAGUAGGGCAGACCUUCUCUCAGAAGAUCAUCCCCUCCCAGAGGUGGCCCAGAUACGAGGAGACCUGAGGAAAAAGCUUGCCCAUCCUGUGAGUGAGUACAUCUGUCUCUAUGCUGCCAUCAUCAGCUCCAGUGUCUUUGGCCUUUCAGUGUGGACUAAACAGCAGUGCUACAGGAGCUCUGCAGGCCUUUGGCACCAGGUCAGGACUGCUGAGACAUCCCAGCUUCUCAGCUUCCACAGUGCACAGACAUCUCUCUACUGUCUAUCCGUCUAUCUAGAAGUAGAUUUAUGCAUACACAUUCUAUCUGAUCUGUUCUUCUAGAGAACCUUGACUAAUAUACUAUUUCUA